AUUGAACGCUGGCGGCAUGCCUUACACAUGCAAGUCGAACGGCAGCACGGGAGCUUGCUCCUGGUGGCGAGUGGCGAACGGGUGAGUAAUACAUCGGAACGUACCCAGUAGUGGGGGAUAACGCACCGAAAGGUGCGCUAAUACCGCAUACGACCUAAGGGUGAAAGCGGGGGACCGUAAGGCCUCGCGCUAUUGGAGCGGCCGAUGUCUGAUUAGCUAGUUGGCGGGGUAAUAGCCCACCAAGGCGACGAUCAGUAGCUGGUCUGAGAGGACGAUCAGCCACACUGGGACUGAGACACGGCCCAGACUCCUACGGGAGGCAGCAGUGGGGAAUUUUGGACAAUGGGGGCAACCCUGAUCCAGCAAUGCCGCGUGUGCGAAGAAGGCCUUCGGGUUGUAAAGCUCUUUUGUCAGGGAAGAAACACCGGCUCUAACACAGUCCGGGAAUGACGGUACCUGAAGAAUAAGCACCGGCUAACUACGUGCCAGCCGCCGCCGUAA
rnacentral:rRNA from 1 species